rnacentral:rRNA from 1 species
GACGAACGCUGGCGGCGCGCCUAACACAUGCAAGUCGAACGAGAGAGGAAGAGCUUGCUUUUCCGAUCGAGUGGCGAACGGGUGAGUAACGCGUGAGGAACCUGCCUCAAAGAGGGGGACAACAGUUGGAAACGACUGCUAAUACCGCAUAAGCCCACGGCUCGGCAUCGAGCAGAGGGAAACGGAGCAAUCCGCUUUGAGAUGGCCUCGCGUCCGAUUAGCUAGUUGGUGAGGUAACGGCCCACCAAGGCGACGAUUGGUAGCCGGACUGAGAGGUUGAACGGCCACAUUGGGACUGAGACACGGCCCAGACUCCUACGGGAGGCAGCAGUGGGGAAUGUUGCACAAUGGGGGAAACCCUGAUGCAGCGACGCCGCGUGGAGGAAGAAGGUCUUCGGAUUGUAAACUCCUGUUGUUGAGGAAGAUAAUGACGGUACUCAACAAGGAAGUGACGGCUAACUACGUGCCAGCCGCCGCCGUAA